UACGGAGGAGGCAAGCGUUAUCCGGAAUUAUUGGGCGUAAAGCGUCCGCAGGUGGCACUUCAAGUCUGUCGUCAAAGACUGGGGCUUAACCCUGGAAAGGCGGUGGAAACUGAAGCGCUAGAGUGCGGUAGGGGUAGAGGGAAUUCCCGGUGUAGCGGUGAAAUGCGUAGAGAUCGGGAAGAACAUCGGUGGCGACAGCGCACUACUGGACCGCAACUGACACUCAGGGACAAAAGCUAGGGGAGCGAAUGGG
rnacentral:rRNA from 1 species